UGCGGAAUGCUAUAUGCUAUCUAGGAAUUAGUCUAAAACAAUUAAAAACUAUCCUAUGAAACUUUAGCAUCAGAGAAAAGUGCUAAGGGUUGUGAAAAACCAUGCACCUCCCAGAUGCAUUCAUUUGAUGCUUUGUGUGAUAUGGCAAGGAGUUUUUGGUUCCUAUUAAUUCAAAGGCUAUGGUAAUGGCACCUUACAAAACUAAGUGUAGCAGAUCAUUGUUGCUCUAUUCAAGUGAGGAGUGAUUUAGAAGAAAAAUUGCAAAACAAAAUGGUUGGCACUACUUGGUAGGGUGUCUACUCCAUCGUAAAAGAAGUGAAGUAAACAAGAUAAAAGGGUACUGAUAUUGGGUUUAUAUCAGGUAUGCAUACCAAGCAUGGUAUAACCAUCAUCUAUUAGUUGCUACUGUUUAUUGCAGAAAUUAAUAUAUAAUGAUACAAAGAUAUUGCACAAUGUAGCAUAACUUACAUGGAGAUGUCUCCGUUUUUCUAUCGCAGUGGUGUAAGGAGUAGAUCCACGUAGUAGAAAACGAAUUUCUUCAUUACAAAUAUUCUUCACAGUUUGAGUUGAUCUUUUUAUUUGUGUAUAAAACAUAUGAUGGAUGAUAUUUUCGGCUAUAGAUGAAAUUCUAGCUGAAAAUUAAAUAUGAUACCAUGCAUUACCUUUCUUCAAUCGAAUGGAGGAAUCCUGGGACAAGUGAGUUGCUUCAUGUGUGUGAGGCACCCUAAAUUAUUUGAUUUCUUCACCGUAUUAACUAAUUAUAACUCAUAUAUAGCUUAUGCCAGUUUUGUUUUCAGAUCAAACCAGCUUCAUGUGACGCUACUUCUAGAAGAGCUAAGACUUAAGACGCUAUCUCUACUUGGGAACAAAAUGGGAUGAGUCUAAGGUUAAACUUCAGAAGUGUAAACCGGCUCCCAUAAAUAUGAAUGGUGUUGCAGACCUGGUAUUUCCGUUACGCCAUUUGUGACAUGCCCUAUAUGGGGCGUUAGAGAAAGUGUGGAUAAAUAUUAUGC